rnacentral:rRNA from 1 species
CAGCCGCCACGGGAAAACGGAGGGUGCAAGCGUUAUCCGGAUUUAUUGGGUUUAAAGGGUCCGUAGGCGGAUCUGUAAGUCAGUGGUGAAAUCUCACAGCUUAACUGUGAAACUGCCAUUGAUACUGCAGGUCUUGAGUAAAUUUGAAGUGGCUGGAAUAAGUAGUGUAGCGGUGAAAUGCAUAGAUAUUACUUAGAACACCAAUUGCGAAGGCAGGUCACUAAGAUUUAACCGACGCUGAUGGACGAAAGCGUGGGGAGCGAACAGGAUUAGAUACCCCAGUAGUCCCUGUCUCUUAUAC